rnacentral:tmRNA from 1 species
GGACUUUAAAAAUUUACCCCCAGCCCUUAUAUCUAUGGUGUUCGCGCAAGCGGACUAUGGCGAUAAAUGACGCGUGAAAUAAGCGUAUCGGACCCGGGGGCGGUACCCGGCGGCUCCACCAAAUCCCUUCGGCGGCGAUCCGCCAGGAGGGCCUUGACGGGGCCGAACUAGGAUCGACGAGCGUGUAAAGACGAUGUUUUCGCCCGGUUUGCCUCCGUUAUUUGGCUAAAUUUGAAUAGUUGCUAAUGACAACCAUUCGGAAGAGUUCGCUCUCGCUGCGUAACGCAGUGCGAGAAACUCGCUUUAAAGCCCUAGCCCCUUUCCAAGGCUAGGCGGGGUUUUGGGAGCACCUGGCAACAGAAGCUCCCUCUU